UUUGGGAUCUUAGUUGCCAGACCAGGAAUUGAACCAGUGACCCCUGCAUUGCAAGGCAAAUUUUUACCUACUGGACCAGUAAGUCCCAAGCAGGGCAUCUCUUAGACCUGCAGUUCAAGGCUAGAGCAAAUGAGAUUCAGGGGGACUAGGACUAAAGAGAUCUCCAUCCUGCCAGGAGAUCGCAGGAGGAAACUGAGAGCUCGGAUGCCCCACAGCACUUAAAAGGCAAGACAGAAGUGAAGACAGAGUGGGUCUGCGUCCCACCUGGGCCACCAUCGCUGAGACUGGGGCCUAGAGGCUGGAACAGGAGCGAGGGCCUGGCAUCCACGCCACAUCAUUCAGGGGCCUUCCAGCACCAGCACCUGAUCCAGCCCAGCAGAGCGGCUCUCCCUGCUAUUUUGGAAGCAAUCAUAUAUUUUUAAUGACCUGCAAAAUCUCCCUGUGAGAAGGGAGGGAGAGUUGAAAUUACAGCCAAGCAAUUUGCAUUGCGAAUAAGUUAUCCUGCCUCCUGCUCUCCAAGAAUAUGCAGAAAUAAAUGCCUCCUAAUGAACCCUGGGGGGCUGAGGCUUUGAUAUGAAUUCUGCUGCAGGGGUAGAGAGUUC